rnacentral:rRNA from 1 species
GAUGAACGCUGGCGGCGUGCCUAAUACAUGCAAGUCGAGCGAAGAGACGAGGAGCUUGCUCCUCUGACGUUAGCGGCGGACGGGUGAGUAACACGUGGAGAACCUACCUAUAAGACUGGGACAACUUCGGGAAACCAGAGCUAAUACCGGAUAAUAUAUUUAACCACAUGUUUCAAGAUUGAAAGACGGUUUUGCUUUCACUUAUAGAUGUAUCCGGUCCUCUUUACCUAUUUGGUAGGUAAACGGCUUACCAAGGCGAGGAUGCUUAGCCGACGUGAGGGUGUGCUGGGACACUGGGAAAGUGACACGGGGUCAGCCUCCUCCGGGAGGCAGCAGUAGGGAAUCUUCCGAAAUGGGCGAAAGCCUGACGGAGCAACGCGGGGUAAGUGAUGAAGGUCUUCGGAUCUUAAACCUUUGUUAUUAGGGAGGAACAAAUGUGUAAGUAAAUAUGCACGUAUUGACGGUACCUACUCAGAAAGCCACGGCUAACUACGUG